GUGGGGAAUAUUGGACAAUGGGCGAAAGCCUGAUCCAGCAAUGCCGCGUGAGUGAAGAAGGCCUUCGGGUUGUAAAGCUCUUUUACCCGGGAAGAUAAUGACUGUACCGGGAGAAUAAGCCCCGGCUAACUCCGUGCCAGCAGCCGCGGUAAUACGGAGGGGGCUAGCGUUGUUCGGAAUUACUGGGCGUAAAGCGCACGUAGGCGGUCUUUUAAGUCAGAGGUGAAAGCCCGGGGCUCAACUCCGGAAUUGCCUUUGAAACUGGGAGACUUGAACACGGGAGAGGUGAGUGGAAUUCCGAGUGUAGAGGUGAAAUUCGUAGAUAUUCGGAGGAACACCAGUGGCGAAGGCGGCUCACUGGACCAAUACUGACGCUGAGGCGCGAAAGCGUGGGGAGCAAACAGGAUUAGAAACCCGUGUAGUCC
rnacentral:rRNA from 1 species